rnacentral:tRNA from 1 species
AGCAGUGUGGCGCAGUGGAAGCGUGCUGGGUCCAUAACCCAGAGGACCGUAGAUCGAAAUCUCGCUCUGCUA